UACGUAGGGUGCGAGCGUUGUCCGGAAUUACUGGGCGUAAAGAGCUCGUAGGUGGUUUGUCGCGUUGUUCGUGAAAACCUGAGGCUUAACCUUGGGCGUGCGGGCGAUACGGGCAGACUGGAGUACUGCAGGGGAGACUGGAAUUCCUGGUGUAGCGGUGGAAUGCGUAGAUAUCAGGAGGAAUACCGGUGGCGAAAGCGACUCUCUGGACGGCAACUGACGCUGAGGCACGAAAGCGUGGGGAGCAAACGGG
rnacentral:rRNA from 1 species